rnacentral:rRNA from 1 species
GGAAUCUUGCGCAAUGGGCGAAAGCCUGACGCAGCGACGCCGCGUGGGUGACGAAGGCCUUCGGUUGUAAAGACCCUGUGGGGUAGAACGAACUGGCAUCGGGCUAAUAUCCCGGUGUCUUGACGGUACUGCCUUAGCAAGCAUCGGCUAACUCUGUGCCAGCAGCCGCGGUAAGACAGAGGAUGCGAACGUUGCUCGGAUUUACUGGGCGUAAAGCGCGUGUAGGCGGUCUCGUUAGUCGGGGUGUGAAAGCCCCGGGCUCAACCCGGGAAGUGCACCCGAUACUGCGAGACUGGGGUACUGAAGAGGAGAGCGGAAUUCCCGGUGUAGAGGUGAAAUUCGUAGAUAUCGGGAGGAACACCAGUGGCGAAGGCGGCUCUCUGGGCAGAUACCGACGCUGAGACGCGAAAGCGGGGGAGCAAACAGGAUUAGAUACCCUGGUAGUCCACGCUGUAAACGAUGACGACUGGGUGUUGCAGGUAUUGACCCCUGCGGUGCCGAAGCCAACGCGUUAAGUCGUCCGCC